UGGAGACGUGAAGCGGCACA
rnacentral:misc_RNA from 1 species